rnacentral:rRNA from 1 species
CACGUAGGGGGCGAGCGUUGUCCGGAUUCAUUGGGCGUAAAGGGCGCGCAGGCGGCCCGGAAAGUCGGAUGUGAAAACUCGAGGCUCAACCUCGAGCGUGCACCCGAUACUGCCGGGCUUGAGGCAGGUAGGGGAGAUCGGAAUUCCUGGUGUAGCGGUGAAAUGCGCAGAUAUCAGGAGGAACACCGGUGGCGAAGGCGGAUCUCUGGGCCUGUCCUGACGCUGAGGCGCGAAAAGCGUGGGGAGCAAACAGG